UUCAAUUUCUGAAACUUCCCCAGUUGAGAAUAAAGGAUGACCCUUAAUUUAUUGUUAGGUUCAUUUUAGCAUUCAGUAGUCUCCACCAGUGUUGUCUUCCAUUGAAUUUCCUUUUUAGCAGCACAUGUUAUUUGAUUCUUGAUAUAUUGUAGCACCAACAUCAGCUUUGCCUUAACUUCCUAGAGCUGCGCAGUUUAGUUGCCAGUGCAUCUUCAAGUGCUCCAUGCUUAAUUUUUCGCUUGUUUUUAUUAACUAAAAUAUAUACUCCUAUGCAUCACAGUGUCGUGUCAUAUAACAUAACUCUGAUAUGCUCUGUUUUCAAUGGACAUCGGUUUCGACAAUCCUAAAAGGGAUUCUAAGGUACUGAAUAUCACGUGGCGUCAAGAAAACUCUAGGAAUUAAUCAUUUACUCCUGGCAGAUGUCGAUCUCAAUGUUGUCAUUUAGAAUAGUGUACAGCAUAUUAACACUUCGAAGAACAAGGUGAUAUACACCAACAAAGCUACCAUGUGAGUUUGAUAACUAUUUACUGCAACAGACUUUAUGGCACGAUACAAUAGUCAAUAUUCAUUACACUGAAGAUAUAAGAUACAGAAAUACGGUACAUUUUUUUCUACUAGUUAACUAAUCUCAGAAGCAAUGCUCUAGGGAGCACCUUAAAUUUCCUCAAAGUAAUUGGGGCUUUUGUUGUUUAUGUUCCCACUUCUCCUAGCUCUUCUAAGCAUGGCAAGUCGUUCUGCUACCUCCUUCAUCUCUGGACGAUCUUCUACAACAUGUGCUAAACACUUCACAGCCAGUCUGCCAAUCUCUUCCAGUAUGUUCUAAGAUCAAAUUGAGGAUCGAGUGCAGGUAGCACCAGAACAGGACGUCAGCAGUGAACUUCCGAGCAAAGGUGUCUGGUUGAAGAUGUUGCAAGAGGAAGACCUUGGUUUGCGGUUCUUCAAGAUGCCCACAUGCAGUGGAAAGCCUAAGAAGGCUAAUGGCAGGCAUAGGAGGAGAUCCACAUGCAUGUGCACUAGGAUGAAGUGGCCGAAAGGGCCGGCUGGCUGGGUCGAGCCAGGGGACGGUGUGCAGCGACGAAUCCGGCGGUGGUGGAGUGUGAGACAAACUUGCGGUUUGCACUUGGGGUAGCGGAGGGUGGCUAAGAAUAGGCGCCGGUGGUGGCAGAGCAGUAAGGAGCGGAGGAGUGUAAGAAAAGAGAGAUGCAGAGUGGUGCUUACCGGUGCAUCCGCUUUCGCCGACAAGGUAGGGGUUGCCCUCGUAGCCUUGGGAGCACUUACAGGCAUAGCCAGUCCCAUUGGUGGAGUCGACGCACUCGCUGUGAUUGCUCUUGCAGGCGUACUGAUCUGCCGCGUCCUUGGCGUCGGCGCAGGACGGCAUUUCACGGAUAGCCCAGUCAAGGCGCGCCGGCAUGGUCCGGGUUCUGUCCAUGUGCCGCAGGUCGGAGCUCUGGAAGGUGUAGUUGUCCUCGUCGACGAUGAAGGCGUAGUCGCAUGGGCUGUGGUUGAGCAUUUGUGGCAUCUCUUUCCUGAUGUUAGGGAACUCGAACACGAUGCUCGUGAGCUCUGGCUGGAUGCCUACCUUGCAGCACCCGGCGCCGGCGCACUGGCCGUUCUGUGCUGCCGUGGCACUGCGGCAGAAGGACAUGCACCCGGAGGCGGAGGCCAGUGUUCGGCUCUCGAAGGUCUUCACGAUGCCGAUGGUGGCGCAGCCGAGGACGAAGAGCAUAUUGUGCUUGUUGGAGAUGCGGUAUAUGCCUUGGCUAGGUAUGUUCUUCUGGUGGUUGAAGAAGCUCGUGUCUUCCAUAUUGCCUACCACUUUACCGUCGGAGACGUUCAGUUCAUAGCACUGCCACCUAAUGGGAAGCAGCACCCGUGACUCGGGUGGAUCGGCGGAGAGGCUGACCACCUGGAUGGACGUGUUGGCGAUGAGCGACACGGGGCCGGCGCCACCGGCCUCUGUGCAGUUGAUCUCGAAGCCCUUGAGGAAGCAGCCGGCGCCGAUGCCGAAGGGGUAAGGGAUGUCAACGCCGCCACAGCUACCCUGACAUGUCGGUGACACGGUGAUGGUGCGGCCCUCCGCGACUGCGGUGGCUGCUAACAACGACGGCAGUAGGAGCAGCGCGGGCAAUAAGAGUGCCGCUAUUGACAUUGUUGAGAAGUUGCUUGCUACGCCUCACUACCGGCGUUUGUUUAAAUACAAGAGCACGCUGAUGCUGUGGCGUGUCUUGUUUUUUAAAGCUUAGGCAAGUUGCUUCCAUCAUGGAGGCAAAGCCUCCAGGCCGACCUCACCAGCUUAACUAACUUUGUUGGGAAAUUAAUUAGUGCAAUCAAGUUGCGCAUGCUGAUAUUCUUAACCAUUCCACAGCUAUUGACAGAGCUUCGCUCUCGUCGUGUAGAUGCAGAACCUUCAACGCACCACCCCAUGACAGGUGACAACGGAAUGACUCGACAACUAAUUUUGGUAAUUCGUCGGCUUAUCCAUUUGGGCAGCUGAUGGUCUAUAUGUACAAUGCCCAACCAGCUGUAAACAAAAGAAACAAUUCGGGCUGAAAGUCAAUUGAUCGUGGUUAACAAGAUUAGCAAGAGCGGCAAAAGGCUCUCGUGGUGACGACAUCCUUGUGUUCAAGCAACUAGCAACAACUGGGCAACCCCACAGCAGAAGGCCAAGGAGAGGAGCAGACCCCAGAAGGCAGAGAGUGAGGAGGUGCCAGCAGGCAGCCUCGGCUUGGGCCAUGUGUGCGUGUGUUGUGUAAUCAGGCUGUUGGGCCGACCAAGGCCUGCGUGCCUGUGUGUGGUUAAGUAGGUGGUCGACCCACUGUGUGAAUCAUCGAAGAAUACAGACUUGGAUCCACAAAGAUCAGGCAAGAUCCGAUCUACCUUUC